rnacentral:lncRNA from 1 species
UUGCCCAGGCUGGUCUGGAACUCCUGAGCUGGACCGAUCCUCCUGCCUUGGCCUCCCAAAGUGCUGAGAUUGCAGGAGUAAUUGGGCAGUAUCUUUUAACUGCAGUGGAGAAGUGUCAACACUACUUUGGCUGUGGGACCAGGAUCCUGCUGCCUGGAGGCAGAUUGAUAUUUUUAUUUCACCUUUAAAGGAUGUACAGUAAGGGUGAGAACAUCUCGAUGAAAUCUCUGCAGUAAAUAACUCUUGGAUCCCUUUCCCAUACAAGUGAAAGGACAAAAGGAUGAUAUGCUGAGAUGGCCUCUUCACCUGCACCAAUGCCAGGGCCAGGGUGGGUCUCAGCUACCCACCCCCAGGAAAGAAGCCUCCUCACCAGUCUCAGGAAGAAAAAUCCUAGAGAAGGCUCUGAUUAGACCAACAUGGUCACAUGGCCACCUGUGUAGCAGGAGAGAAAAGGAACACACUGUACGAGAGAGGAGAAGCAGUUCUCUAAGCAGAAGGGAGCUGUUUGUUACUAGAUGAAGGAGACAGAGCACUGGGCAGACAAGUGGAACAGAUGUCCCCUCCAGGUAUGAAAGCACUUCUUUCAUCCAUCCCUAUGCGUCUAGCACUGUGGUGGGCACUGAAAAAAUAAAGAUGAAUACACCACUGUCAUUGCCUGGAUAGUGCAUGGCUUUGUGCGUGGGCUAUAUGGAUGUAGACAUGGCACCCCAUAGCUUAGAGAGAGAGUUCUAAACUAUGGGAGAGUUUGAAAUUUGCUUUACAGAUAUAAGGUGACAUUACUGCUAUUCAUAUCAUUUCACAACAUGCAAUCGUUUAUGGGAACCUCUGAGAGUCAGGGGAGAUGAGAAAAAGGAAGUGGAGAUCAGAACAGAUCACAGAGCGAGAUCACUGAAUGGUCAGCAACAGGCUAUUUUGCAUACUUUCUCAUGUCAUCUUUGCAAGAACCUACAUCUUUGCAAGUAGGAAUUAACAGUCUGCAUUUUCAAGGGAAAGACCUUGAAUUUCUCCCUUGGACUCUGCUCCUCUCCUAGAGCCUCCUUCCAGUUUGGAAAAAGUUCUCCACUCCCAGUUUGGGUGUAAGGCCUUCACUUACACCCAAGUGUAACUGUGUAAGGCAAUCCUGUUUGAGGUCUGUCAAUCUGAGCUUGACCUUGGCUCUAUGAGCCCUUACUGGGUGGGGGUCUCAGGCAAGUCUGUGCCAUGCAUUUCCUCAUUGCACAUGGGGAUGACAAUGACUGU